rnacentral:rRNA from 1 species
AUUGAACGCUGGCGGCAUGGUUAAAACAUGCAAGUCGAACGAGAAAGUCACUUCGGUGGUGAGUACAGUGGCGAAAGGGCGAGUAAUGCGUAUCUAACGUACCCCCCGGUGAGGGAUAGCUCAGGGAAACUUGUGGUAAUACCUCAUAACCUCAAACAGUCGCAUGGCUGUUUGAGCAAAGGCUUGCUGCCAGGGGAUCGGGAUACGUGAUAUCAGCUUGUUGGUGAGGUAAAAGCUCACCAAGGCUAAGACGUCUAGCGGGUGUGAGAGCACGACCCGCCGCAUCGGGACUGAGACACUGCCCGG